GUAUUGACAUUUUAACAAUAUUUGUUCUUCCUAUCCAGGAGCACGGAAUCUUUUUCCAUUUUUUGGUGUCUUCUUCAAUUUCUUUCAUACGCUUUCUAUAGUUUUCAGUGGAUAGAUUUUGGUUAGAUUUCUUUGGCUAGAUUUAUUCCUAGGUAUUCUGUGGUUUUUUUUUGUGCAA